rnacentral:rRNA from 1 species
CCUACGGGGGGCUGCAGUUUCGAAUCAUUCACAAUGGGCGAAAGCCUGAUGGUGCGACGCCGCGUGAGGGAUGAAGGUCUUCGGAUUGUAAACCUCUGUCACUGGGGAAGAAACGCUUUGAGUUAAUAGUUCAAAGCCUGACUUAACCCGGAGAGGAAGCAGUGGCUAACUCUGUGCCAGCAGCCGCGGUAAUACAGAGACUGCAAGCGUUAUUCGGAUUCGUUGGGCGGAAAGGGUGCGUGUGCGGCCUGAAAUCCCGGAGCUUAACGCCGGAACUGCGCCUCAAACUACACGGCUAGAGCAUUGGAGAGGGAAGUGGAAUUCACAGUGUAGCAGUGAAAUGCGUAGAUAUCGUGAGGAACACCAGUGGCGGAGGCGACUUCCUGGACAAUUGCUGACGCUCAGGCACGAAAGCGUGGGGAGCAAAAGGGAUUAGAUACCCCAGUAGUC